CGGGAAACGAAAGGGUCUUAGUGCUGUGACGUCUGGGCCCAUCCUAUUGGCCUGGACCAGGUACAUCUAUCAGUGUCUACCAAGAUUUGCACCAGACAUAUCCACGUCCCCUCCAGCUGGCUGCAGGAGAUGCUGAGGUCGUCCUGGCUGUGCUUCUGUAGCCUCCCUUGGUAUUUCCCCUUACCUCUGGGUCUCAAUCCGUGCUCCACGAAGGCAGUGCCCCAUCAGUCACGCUCAGCACUCUGACUCCACAGUCUGUACAGUGCCUGGCGCUGAGUGUGCACUUAAUGAACACUCGCUGAGUGGAUGAUUCCAUAACUGCAUGAAUUAGAAACAACCUACUCAACUUUAAAUGAAGAUGACUCAAUCCGCAGACCCAGAAACCGUGGAACAAUUACAACAUUCAAAACAGCUUGUGUGUAACGGCUCG